rnacentral:rRNA from 1 species
CCUACGGGAGGCAGCAGUGGGGAAUAUUGGGCAAUGGGCGCAAGCCUGACCCAGCAACGCCGCGUGAAGGAAGAAGGCUUUCGGGUUGUAAACUUCUUUUGUCAGGGAAGAGUAGAAGACGGUACCUGACGAAUAAGCCACGGCUAACUACGUGCCAGCAGCCGCGGUAAUACGGAGGUGGCAAGCGUGGUCCGGAUUUACUGGGUGUAAAGGGCGUGUAUGCGGGUUGACAAGUCAGAUGUGAAAUCCUGCGGCUUAACCGCAGAACUGCAUUUGAAACUGUUGAUCUUGAGUACUGGAGAGGCAGAUGGAAUUCCUAGUGUAGCGGUGAAAUGCGUAGAUAUUAGGAGGAACACCAGUGGCGAAGGCGGUCUGCUGGACAGCAACUGACGGUGAGGCGCGAAAGCGUGGGGAGCAAACAGGAUUAGAUACCCUUGUAGUC